rnacentral:lncRNA from 1 species
AGAGAUUCUAUUUUUUUUGCGAAAUUAUCAAUGGGUAACAUAGAGAGCGUAGCAAAAGCUGCACUUGAGAAAUUGAAGGAGAUGAAUAUGGUGGAAAACGCAAAGGAGAUCGUCAAAAGAAAAACGCCGUUUGUAUCGGAAUAUGCGCGGAUCUUAUUUGAUGGGUUACUGGAAAAUCUGAAGCAGAUUGUCGUGAAAACGAUGCCGUUCGGGCGAACUUCAUCCGACUCUCUGCCGGUGCUGCAGCGGCGGCGGAAAUGGGAAGACGAUGAAAGCUCCGGGAAGGAAUAAUGUAAGGAUACUGGAAAAUGCGAAGGAGAUUGUCGUGAAAACGACGCCGUUUGUACGAACCUCAUCGGACUGGUUACUGGAAAAAGCUCCUGCACGGAUAUCUACUUCGAUAAAUUCGAUCCGUAUAGCUCCAAUAUAUUACACCAGUCCAAUCGGAUUUCUGCUGAUUUUGUUCCUCUGCCGGUGCUGCAGCGGCGGCGGAAAUGGGAAGACGAUGAAAGCUCCGGGAAGGAAUAAUGUAAGGAUACUGGAAAAUGCGAAGGAGAUUGUCGUGAAAACGACGCCGUUUGUACGAACCUCAUCGGACUGGUUACUGGAAAAAGCUCCUGCACUGAUAUCUACCUCGAUAAAUUCGAUCCGUACAGCUCCAAUAAAUUACACCAUUCCAAUCGGAGUUCUGCUGAUUUUGUUCC